rnacentral:lncRNA from 1 species
UUCAUAAUGCAAUUAUUCGAUGAAGUUAAAAUUCUUUUUAUGUGUGAUCCCAUAGGUUAUAUUAUCUGAUAAUGAGACAUAUUAUGAUCUCUAUCAUAAAUAUCAUUGAAACUUCUUUCAAUGAAUUAAAAUAAUCUCAACUCAUCUGAUAAAAUUAUUAACCAUCAAUCAAUUCUUACAGAUCUUACAAUCCAUUAGUGACGUCUAGCUGCAUAUAGUGACAAUCC